UCUUUCUAAUAUUUCCUGGACACCUUGAGUUCUGGAUCCCAUUCCAAAUCCCUAUUUGGGGACCUGCGCUGGGCUGCACUCUGUUACAGGACCACAUCUGUCAUUGAGAGCAGAGUUUCUGCACUCUCUACCCAUGCGAAUUAGAGGCCAAUCCAUAAUAUCUUUCAAGCAAGAAAAGUUGGAUAGCAAGUCUAAGUUUAAAAUGUUCAGGAAUUUCAGUAGUAUCAUUUUUCUCAAGAAAAAUUUGUAUCAUAAUUUAGGAAAUAUUGAAGUUUAUAGAAAAAUUUUUUUAAUAAGACAAAAUUUAUUUAGGAGUUUACAGAGGUAGUAGAAGUGAACCAGCUGGGCUGUGUAGGCUCAGGAAACAAGUUACAGAGACAGAAGGAAGGCCCUAAGGGAGAGAAA